UACCAGCUCUCCGAGUGGUAGGGAUGAUUAUUGGGCUUAAAGCGUCCGUAGCCGGCUUAGCAAGUUUCCUGUUAAAUUCAGCGACCUAAUCGUUGAGCCGCGGGAAAUACUACUAGGCUAGGAGGCGGGAGAGGUCGACGGUACUUCUGGGGUAGGGGUGAAAUCCUACAAUCCCGGGAGGACCACCAGUGGCGAAGGCUGUCGACUAGAACGCGCUCGACGGUGAGGGACGAAAGCUGGGGUAGCGAACCGGAUUAGAUACCCGGGUAGUCCCAGCUGUAAACGAAUGCGGGCUAGGUGUUGGGAUGGCUACGGGCCAUUUCAGUGCCGCAGGGAAGCCAUUAAGCCCGCCGCCUGGGGAGUACGGGCCGCAAGGCUGAAACUUAAAGGAAUUGGCGGGGAGCACCACAAGGCGUGAAGCUUGCGGUUC
rnacentral:rRNA from 1 species